UACAGGAUGUCCUGGUCCUCUAUAGGUAGGGGCUGUUACUUCCUGGUCCUCUAUAGGUAGGUGCUGUUACUUCCUGGUCCUCUAUAGGUAGGUGCUGUUACUUCCUGUUACAGGGCCCUUCCUGGUCCUCUACAGGUAGGUGCUGUUACUUCCUGUUACAGGGCCCUUCCUGGUCCUCUAUAGGUAGGAACUGUUACUUCCUGUUACAGGGCCCUUCCUGGUCCUCUACAGGUAGGUGCUGUUACAGGAUGGUCCUCUAUAGGUAGGGGCUGUUACAGGAUGGUCCUCUAUAGGUAGGUGCUGUUACAGGAUGGUCCUCUAUAGGUAGGUGCUGUUACUUCCUGGUCCUCUAUAGAUAGGUGCUGUUACUUCCUGGUCCUCUAUAGGUAGGUGCUGUUACAGGAUGGUCCUCUAUAGGUAGGUGCUGUUACAGGAUGGUCCUCUAUAGGUAGGUGCUGUUACAGGAUGGUCCUCUAUAGGUAGGUGCUGUUACAGGAUGGUCCUCUAUAGGUAGGUGCUGUUACAGGAUGGUCCUCUAUAGGUAGGUGCUGUUACAGGAUGGUCCUCUAUAGGUAGGUGCUGUUACAGGAUGGUCCUCUAUAGGUAGGUGCUGUUACAGGAUGGUCCUCUAUAGGUAGGGGCUGUUACUUCCUGUUACAGGGCCCUUCCUGGUCCUCUACAGGUAGGUGCUGUUACUUCCUGGUCCUCUAUAGGUAGGUGCUGUUACAGGAUGGUCCUCUAUAGGUAGGUGCUGUUACUUCCUGGUCCUCUAUAGAUAGGUGCUGUUACAGGAUGGUCCUCUAUAGGUAGGUGCUGUUACAGGAUGGUCCUCUAUAGGUAGGUGCUGUUACAGGAUGGUCCUCUAUAGGUAGGUGCUGUUACUUCCUGGUCCUCUAUAGAUAGGUGCUGUUACAGGAUGGUCCUCUAUAGGUAGGUGCUGUUACAGGAUGGUCCUCUAUAGGUAGGUGCUGUUACAGGACGUCCUGGUCCUCUAUAGGUAGGUGCUGUUACAGGACGUCCUGGUCCUCUAUAGGUAGGUGCUGUUACAGGAUGGUCCUCUAUAGGUAGGUGCUGUUACAGGAUGGUCCUCUAUAGGUAGGUGCUGUUACAGGAUGGUCCUCUAUAGGUAGGUGCUGUUACAGGAUGGUCCUCUAUAGGUAGGUACUGUUACAGGAUGGUCCUCUAUAGGUAGGUGCUGUUACAGGAUGGUCCUCUAUAGGUAGGUGCUGUUACAGGAUGGUCCUCUAUAGGUAGGUGCUGUUACAGGAUGGUCCUCUAUAGGUAGGUGCUGUUACAGGAUGGUCCUCUAUAGGUAGGUGCUGUUACAGGAUGGUCCUCUAUAGGUAGGUGCUGUUACAGGAUGGUCCUCUAUAGGUAGGUGCCGUUACAGGAUUGUCCUCUAUAGGUAGGUGCUGUUACAGGAUGGUCCUCUAUAGGUAGGUGCUGUUACAGGAUGGUCCUCUAUAGGUAGGUGCUGUUACAGGAUGGUCCUCUAUAGGUAGGUACUGUUACAGGAUGGUCCUCUAUAGGUAGGUGCUGUUACAGGAUGGUCCUCUAUAGGUAGGUGCUGUUACAGGAUGGUCCUCUAUAGGUAGGUGCUUUUACAGGAUGGUCCUCUAUAGGUAGGUGCUGUUACAGGAUGGUCCUCUAUAGGUAGGUGCUGUUACAGGAUGGUCCUCUAUAGGUAGGUGCUGAUACAGGACGUCCUGGUCCUCUAUAGGUAGGUGCUGUUACAGGAUGGUCCUCUAUAGGUAGGUGCUGUUACAGGAUGGUCCUCUAUAGGUAGGUGCUGUUACAGGAUGGUCCUCUAUAGGUAGGUGCUGUUA